rnacentral:tRNA from 1 species
GCCAGUUUGGUGUAGUGAUUAAAACACCUGGCUAGAAACCAGAAGACUGUGAGUUCUAAUCCCACUUUAGGCA